UACGUAGGGUGCGAGCGUUAAUCGGAAUUACUGGGCGUAAAGCGUGCGUAGGCGGUUCGUUAAGUUCGUUGUGAAAGCCCCGGGCUCAACCUGGGAAUGGCAAUGGAAACUGGCGGGCUGGAGUAUGGCAGAGGGGGGUGGAAUUCCGCGUGUAGCGGUGAAAUUCGUAGAUAUCGAGAGGAACACCAGUGGCGUAGGCGACGCUCUGGCCAAAUACUGACGCUGAGGCACGAAAGUGUGGGGAGCAAACAGG
rnacentral:rRNA from 1 species